rnacentral:pre_miRNA from 1 species
CCACAUACUCUUCUCUUCUUUGCUUUCCACAUACUCAAGGUAUGUGGAAAGCAAAGAAGAGAAGAGCGGAGGC